rnacentral:rRNA from 1 species
AUUGAACGCUGGCGGCAUGCUUUACACAUGCAAGUCGAGCGGUAACAGGCCUUCGGGUGCUGACGAGUGGCGAACGGGUGAGUAAUGCAUCGGAACGUACCCAGAGGUGGGGGAUAACGCAGCGAAAGCUGUGCUAAUACCGCAUGUGAUCUGAGGAUGAAAGCGGGGGACCGAGCAGCAAUGUUUGGCCUCGCGCCUUUGGAGCGGCCGAUGUCGGAUUAGCUAGUUGGGGGGGUAAAGGCCUACCAAGGCGACGAUCCGUAGCUGGUCUGAGAGGACGACCAGCCACACGGGGACUGAGACACGGCCCAGACUCCUACGGGAGGCAGCAGUGGGGAAUUUUGGACAAUGGGCGCAAGCCUGAUCCAGCAAGGCCGCGUGCGGGAAGAAGGCCUUCGGGUUGUAAACCGCUUUUGGCAGGAACGAAACGGUGUCCGCUAAUACCGGGCGCUAAUGACGGUACCUGCAGAAUAAGCACCGGCUAACUACGUG